ensembl:lncRNA
CCUGAGGAGACUGCAGCCCCUGGAAAGGAAAGACCACAUUCACUUCUGAGAAUGGAGUCAGACCUGUUCCAUGAUGGUGUGACAGAGGCAGCGGCAGGAUCACCUCAUUGAGCUGCUGCCAUGACUAUGUGAUGAGAGAAUGGUAUGAGAUUCUUUUUCAUCUGAAGUCCACAGCCCUGGGGUCCUUGAAAGUGAACCUGAUCCUACUCGAACCAGAUUUUCACUAUAAACAAAAAGGCUCUGUGAUUCCUCCAAGGCACAGAAGGACAAGAGAUUCCAAUCAGAUGACCUCUAGCUUGAUUUCAAAUACAACCAUUCUACCAGGAAGCUAUUCUCUCAAAUCUGUGAAGAAGAUUCUGAAAGCUGAAAGGUGUUAGAUAUUGAAAGACAAUUCCCAAAAUAGUGAAAGAAAGAUUUCAUUAUUUUGUUACUUUUUUUUUUUUUUUUCCUUUUGGUAAUAAAGAAUUUGGUGGAGUUAGUUUCUGGCA